rnacentral:misc_RNA from 1 species
GAUGAAGAACGUAGCGAAAUGCGAUAAGUAGUGUGGAUUGCAGAAUUCAGUGAAUCAUCGAAUCUUUGAACGCACAUUGCGCCCUUUGGUAUUCCUUAGGGCAUGCCUGUUCGAGCGUCAUUUAAACCUUCAAGCUAAGCUUGGUGUUGGGUGACUGUCCGCUUCACGGCGGACUCGCCUCAAAAUUAUUGGCGGCCGGUACAUUGGCUUCGAGCGCAGCAGAAACGCGAACUCGGGCCCGUCGUAUUGGCUCCCAGAAGCUAUCUUCACAAUUUUGACCUCGGAUCAGGUAGGGAUACCCGCUGAACUUAAGCAUAUCAAUAAGCGGAGGA